GGUCUGUUGGUCUAGCGGUAUGAUUCUCGCUUAGGGUUCACCCUAUACAUCCAAAGCUUCACAGCUUGCGAGAGGUCCCGGGUUCAAUCCCCGGACAGACCC